UUCCUAAGAGGUAAAGGAAUUUUUUGAUAUGGCCUUAACGUACCACCCUUUCAAGAAUGCAAAAGCCCUACUAUGGAAAAACCUCAUCAAGGCUUUCUUUUGGAAUCGUUCCUUUUGCUUUCGCCA